rnacentral:rRNA from 1 species
GAUGAACGCUGGCGGCGUGCUUAAUACAUGCAAGUCGAACGGAGACUGUAGCAAUACUGUCUUAGUGGCGAACGGGUGAGUAACGCGUUGGUGACCUGCCCCGAAGAGGGGGAUAACAGUCCGAAAGGAUUGCUAAUACCCCAUGUGGUCGUUUGGAUUAGAUGCCUUAUGACUAAACGGAUUUAUUCGCUUCGGGAGGGGCCUGCGUCCCAUCAGCUAGUUGGUGAGGUAAUAGCUUACCAAGGCGAUGACGGGUAGGGGACCUGAGAGGGUGGCCCCCCACAAUGGAACUGAAACACGGUCCAUACACCUACGGGUGGCAGCAGUAGGGAAUAUUGGUAAUCUGGGAAACCGGGAACCAGCAACGCCGCGUGCGCGAUGACGGCCUGGUU